rnacentral:rRNA from 1 species
AGUGAACGCUGGCGGUAUGCCUAACACAUGCAAGUCGAACGCCAUCUCAUUAAGAGCUUGCUCUUACGGGAGGCGAGUGUCGGACGGGUGAGGAAUACAUCGGAAUCUACUUUUUCGUGAUGGAUAACGUAUGAAAACUUACGCUAAUACCUCAUACCACCUACUUGUGUAUCCAGGGGGUCUUCUGACCUUACGCCAUUUAUUGAGCCGAUGUCGGAUUAGCUAGUUGGCGGGGUAAAGGCCCACCAAGGCGACGAUCCGUAGCUGGUCUGAGAGGAUGAUCAGCACAACUGGAACUGGGAAACGGUCCAGAUUCCUACGGGAGGAAGCAGAGGGGAAUAUUGGACAAGGGGGGCAAGCCUGAUCAAGCCAUACCGCGGGGGUGAAGAAGGCCUUCGGGUUGUAAAGCCCUUUUGUUGGGAAGGAAAAGCAGCAGGUUAAAACGCCGCUGUUCUGACGGUACCCAACGAAUAAGCAACGGCUAACUUCGUG